ACUUCCGGCGUGGAGCGCACUUUCAGCAGUCUGGUUGCCGAGGGUGAGCUCGCUGGCAGAGGAACUUGCGCCUUCCAACUCUUAGAAGGUCCUCACCAGAAGCUAACUGAAUGGCAACACCAUACCUUUGGAAUUCCCAGAAUCCAGAAUUUGGAGACAGGAUUUCACCACGUUGUCCAGGCUGGUCUCAAACUCCUGACCUCAAGUGAUCCACUUACGUCGGCCUACCAAAGUUCUGAGAUAUGUAUGGGGAGGGGUCUAACCUCCUUCUCCUCCUUCUUUGACAGAGUUAACAGCUUUUGUCGGGAAACCUGGAAAGCCCAGGGCAAAUCCCCUGCACAUGCUCUCUUGCCUGCCACCAUGUAAGAUGUGCCUUUGUUCCUCCUUCCCCUUCCACCAUGAUUGUGAGGCCUCCUCAAACAUGUGAAACUGUGAGUCCCUUAAACCUCUUUUUCUUUAUGAAUUACCCACUCUCAGGUAUGCCUUUAUUAGCAGUGUGAGAACAGACUAAUACGGUAAAUUGUUAUCAGUAGAGGCGGGUGCUGUUAUAAGGAUACCUGAAAAUGUGGAAGUGACUUUGGAACUGGGUAACAGGCAGAGGCUGGGGCAGUUUGGAGGGCUCAGAAAAAGAUAGGGAAAUGUAGGAAAGUUUGGAACUUCCUAGAGACUUGUUGAAUGGCCUUGACCAAAAUGCUGAUAGUGAUAUGGACAAUAAAGUCCAGACUUAGGUGGUUUCAGAUGGAGAUGAGGAACUUGUUGGGAACUGGAGCAAAGGUGACUCUUAUUAUGCUUUAGCAAAGAGAUUGGCAGCAUUUUGCCCCUGCCCUAGAGAUCUAUGGAACUCUGAACCUGAGAGAGAUGAUUUAGAGUAUCUGGAGGAAGAAAUUUCUAAACGGCAAAGGGUUCAUCAGGAAGCAGAGCAUAAAAGUUUGAAAAAUUUGCUGCCUGAUGAUACAGUAGAAAGAAAAACCUACUUUCUGGGGAGAAAUUCAAGCCCACUGCAGAAAUUUGCAUGAGUAAUGAGGAGCUGAAUGUUAAUCAUCAAGACAAUAGGGAAAAUGUCUCCAGGGCAUGUCAGAGACCUUCGUGGCAGUCCCUUUCAUCACAGGCCCAGAUGCCUAGGAGGAAAAAAUGGUUUCAUGUGCUGGGCCCAGGGACCCCCUGCUGUGUGCAGUCUGGGGACUUGGGAUGUCCUGAAUCCUAGCCACUCCAGCUGUGGUUAAAAGGGGCCAAGGUACAACUUGAUCCGUGACUUGACAACGGUGCAAGCCCCAAGUCUUGGCAGCUUCCACGUGGUGUUGAGCCUGUGGGUGCACAGAGGUCAACAAUUGAGGUUUGGGAACCUCUGCCUAUAUUUCAGAGGAUGUAUGGAACGUCCGGGCAGAAGUUUGCUGCAGGGACGGAUCCCUCAUGGAGAAACUCUGCUAGGGCAGUGUGGAAGGGAAAUGUGGGGUCAGAGCCUCCACACAGAGUCCCCACUGGGGCACUGCCUAGAGGAGCUAUGAGGCCACCAUCCUGCAGACCCCAGAAUGGUAGAUCCACCAACAGCUUGCACCAUGUGCGUGGAAAAGCCAUGGGCACUCAACACUAGCCCAUGAAAGCAGCCAGGAUGGGGGUCUGUACCCUGCAAUACUACAGGAGUGGAACUGCCCAAGGCCUUGGGAACUCACCUCUUGCAUCAGUGUGACUUGGAUGUGAGACAUGGAGUCAAAGGAGAUCAUUUUGGAGCUUUAAGAUUUGACUGCCCUGCUGGAUUUUGGACUUGCGUGGGGCCUGUAGCCCCUUUGUUUUGGCCAAUUUCUCCCAUUUGGAAUGGGUUUAUUUACCCAAUGCCUGUACCCUCAUUGUAUCUAGGAAGUAACUAACUUGCUUUUGAUUUUGCGGGCUCAUAGGCAGAAGGGACUUGCCUUGUCUCAGAUGAGACUUUGAACUUGGAUUUUUGGGUUAAUGCUAGAAUGGGCUAAGACUUUGGGGGACUGUUGGAAAGGCAUGAUUGGUUUUGAAAUGUGAGGACUUGAGAUUUGGGAGGGGCCAGGGUUGGAUUGCUAUGGUUUGGCUCUGUGUCCCCACCCAAAUCUUGUCUUCAGUUGUAGCUCCCAUAAUCCCCAUGUGUCAUGAGAGGGACUCUGUGGGAUGUAAUUAAAUCAUGGGGGUAGGUUUUUCUUGUGCUGUUCUCAUGAUAGUGAAUAAGUCUCAUGACACCUAAUGAUAUUAUAAAGGGGAGUUCCCCUGCACACGCUCUUUCCUGCUGCCAUGAAAGAUGUGCCUUUGCUCCUCCUUCACCUUCCACCAUGAUUGUGAGGCCUCCCCAGCCACAUGGAAUGGUGAGUCCAUUAAACCUCUUUUUCUUUAUAAAUUA
rnacentral:lncRNA from 1 species